UACGUAGGGUGCGAGCGUUGUCCGGAAUUACUGGGCGUAAAGAGCUCGUAGGCGGCUUGUCGCGUCGACUGUGAAAUCCCGCGGCUCAACUGCGGGUCUGCAGUCGAUACGGGCAGGCUAGAGUUCGGUAGGGGAGACUGGAAUUCCUGGUGUAGCGGUGAAAUGCGUAGAGAUGUGGAGGAACACCGAUGGCGAAGGCAGCUCUCGUGGGCCUUACCUGACGCUGAGGAGCGAAAGCGUGGGGAGCGAACGAG
rnacentral:rRNA from 1 species